AAGAAGACCAUUUUUCAGUUUUUAGAUACAAUUUUUGAGUCUUUAUCUUAUUUGAAAUUUUUUUGCGAUUAAUAUUUGUUACUAGAUGAUAAAAUAUAAAUAGUACUUUAUACAUGACUAAUAUUUUUAAUUUUUUAAGUUUUUUACAAAUUUUUCAAAUAAGAUGAAUGGUGAAACGUUGGAUACGUAAAAAC
rnacentral:pre_miRNA from 1 species